rnacentral:lncRNA from 1 species
AUGUGUUCCCCACAGCCCUGAUUCCAGUUUAGGGCUGUGAAUGUUCAUGAGUCUUCGUGGUUUGGGGGAAAUCGUAGUAGUGCACUUGCUAGGUCAUGUGGGCAGCGUGUUUUAACUCCGUGGGAACCUCUUUGGCAAUGCUGUGUUGUCUGUCUUUCCUCCCCAACAGUGUCAGUGAGUUUGGUUACUGCACACUCACACCAGCCUUGGUAUUGUCUGUCACUUUAGCCAUUGGAGCGAUUGUGUGGAGUGUGCUGGGAUCGCUCCAGGGCUUUUCUUUACACACCUGUGGAGACGGACAGCCUCUGCUUUAUGUGUCAAUUGUGUUAGGAUUCCUUUUUGUUUCCUGCUGGUGAUCUUGUUUUAGUAUCAUUUGUUGAUUAAGAUUGUCCCUUCUCCUUUAAGUUAGCACUAACAUUGUUAAAAAAAAAAAA